rnacentral:lncRNA from 1 species
GAAGCCCAAUCUGUCUGGAUCUUAUUUUUGUUUUUUUCAAGUCUUUGGGCUGGGCAGGCAAUUUUAUCAUGGGCCUGUCUUUUGGACUUGGGCGUGCCGAAUUUGGGCCCAAACAAUGCCCCCUAAGUCUGAAUCGUUUUUGGAACGUUUUCAGACUUAAUAUUUUGCCAUUUAAUUCGCGCGCCAGUUUCUUCCGUGUUUUCGCCCACGUCUGCCACGUUUGCCUGCUACGAACUAGAGUUCGUGGGAAAACGGCUAGUUAUUAGCUAGUUAC